UGACCCAUGGUGUAAUGGUAACACAGCAGAUUUUGGUUCUGUCGUUCUAGGUUCGAAUCCUAGUGGGUCAA
rnacentral:tRNA from 1 species